CUGGGAGUUUGUUAAGAGGGAGAUAGUAAAAGCACAACUUCAGGCAAUACCAAUGAGACGGAAACAUGGAAGGUGUCUAAAGAAGCCAGGGUGGCUAUCUAAAGAACUUUUAACCGAGUUAAGAUUAAAAAAGGAUGUGUACAAAAAAUGGAAAAGGGGGGAAACCACCGAAGAGGAAUUCAAACAAAUAGCCAGCACGUGUAGACACAAAGUCAGAAAAGCUAAAGCACAGAAUGAACUCAGGCUUGCUAGAGAGGUUAAAAGCAACAAAAAGGCUUUU
rnacentral:lncRNA from 1 species